UACGAAGGGGGCUAGCGUUGUUCGGAAUUACUGGGCGUAAAGCGCACGUAGGCGGACUCUUAAGUCAGGGGUGAAAUCCCGGGGCUCAACCUCGGAACUGCCUUUGAUACUGUGAGUCUCGAGACCGGAAGAGGUGAGUGGAAUUCCUAGUGUAGAGGUGAAAUUCGUAGAUAUUAGGAAGAACACCCGUGGCGAAGGCGGCUCUCUGGUACGGAACUGACGCUGAGACGCGAAAGCGUGGGGAGCGAACAGG
rnacentral:rRNA from 1 species